CUAUGGCUUGUGAUAAGUGCUCUUGUCCCUAAAUAGCAAGGUUCUAUACAAGACAGUUUCAAAGGUACAGUGCCACGGUAUUUGAAGGCUGAGAAUUUGGAAAAUGUGAUUUAAUGGAUGAACAAGAAAGAAAUGCUACUCUUAUAGCAGGACCAGUUCGAGAUAUUGUACACCUCUUUCUUGAUGAUCCGAGGUCAAGUAAUUAUACGCAGUUCAAUCGGGCAAGUGAUCUUCUUGUUGAUAUAUAUUCUUGUGACCGGGCAAGUGAAUCUUAUGAGCGAGCUGGCAAAUUCCCUAUCAAUGUGAUUUUAUACUUUAAAAUAUCAUAAGAUUUCAUGGACAUACUAAACCAACUUUGAGUGCGGAAGUUGAGUUGAUUCCACAAUGGCAGAAAAGCAAUCUUGGAGCAGAUCACACUGGAAUUUUAAGAGCUCUGCAUAUAUCACAGACUCCAGGAAGGGAGAUACUAUUUUGUGUGUCUUACCUUGAAAUCUAUAAUAAGAACUCUUUCUUUCUCAGACACAGAAAACCGAAGAGCUGCGGUAGCGCAAAGCAUAUAAAAGAUGGCUAUUGAAGGCUACGUUGACCAUGUUUCUAUGAAUGUAUUUUUUGUCUUCUCAUUUUUGUUAAGGAAGAAAAUGAUCCAAUCUUAUUUCUUUUUGGUUCUUUUUCUUGUUUCCACAAUAAUGAAAUUCCGAGAAAUGUAAUAUAAUUUUCUCUUUCUUU